rnacentral:lncRNA from 12 species
UCCCUCAUUCCUGAUAUAAAGCUCAAAAAUAUAGGUUAUGUGUUUUUGAAAUAUUGGUUUUAGACAGUAGCAAAGUAUGACUCUGAAAUAUUGUAAUCUUCACAUAAGUCUACAAUUUAGUCUUUGCUCAGAUAUCUGAAAGUUAAUCUUGUCUUCAAAUUUCUUAUUAGGUCUAAACCAGUCCUUUGAUAGGCACCAGGGAGAAAAACAGAUGUGAUCUCAGCUUUCAACAAUUAAGAAAUCAUCCAACCUUAAACUCUUCCUGGAAUAAAAAGCAUGGUUGAAAAAGAAUCUAUUAAAAAUCCUGCUUGGCAAAUCCCUAUAUCCAUCCUCCAGAAGUUUGGAUGUAUAAAACAUCUUAAAGGUUCAGACAGUUUCAAUGUGAGUCUUCAAAGACAAUGCAUUGGUUUCAGGUAAGUAUUAGAGCACAUGGGAGUUUCUGGAAUCCUAAUUUCAAGAACAGAUUUUAGGUUCACCUAACAGUGCUUUUCAUGCUCUUUUGACUAAGGGGACUCCUUCUUAGUGAUUAGGUAGGCUGGUCUAAGACCAGACUCAGAGUGUUAAGAUUGCCUGACCAAAAUCUAGCCUGUUACCCAAAUCGCCAGACAGAACUAGUUGCUAACCAGUGGACAUUGAUCUAUGGACCAAAUCAGUGUAGCUACCCCUUGAGAGAGGAAGACAAGUAAAUUGAAGACCUAUUCUCUGCUACUAUGAGAUCACAUGGGACCUUUCUCUCUCCCUAAUCUCAAACUAGAGAUCGAAGUACACUAAACUGUGUAAAUGUGAGGACUUUGAGAUACCAUUCAUUUAUAAAUGGAAGCUUCUUUCCUACUCAUCAUCUACAAUUGACUGCUUGUGUGGCUACAUGGGACAGCAAGAUGAUGAUUAGAUUAAUUAAAAAGAAGUAAGGAAGCUGCAUUUCCUUUGCAAAUAAGAGUAAUUAUGUGUUAC